UACGUAGGGUGCGAGCGUUGUCCGGAAUUAUUGGGCGUAAAGAGCUUGUAGGCGGUUUGUCGCGUCUGCUGUGAAAAUCCGGGGCUCAACCCCGGACUUGCAGUGGGUACGGGCAGACUAGAGUGUGGUAGGGGAGACUGGAAUUCCUGGUGUAGCGGUGAAAUGCGCAGAUAUCAGGAGGAACACCAAUGGCGAAGGCAGCUCGCUGGAACGGUACUGACGCUGAGGCGCGAAAGCGUGGGGAGCGAACAGG
rnacentral:rRNA from 1 species